UUUUGUGCGCCACUGCAGCUGCAAAGUGAAAUGAGCUGCCGUCUGUCUCUGCCUGUAUGUGUGUAUGUGUGUGCGUGCGUGUGUGUGUUUCUGUGUGCUU